rnacentral:lncRNA from 1 species
AAUUUUUUUUGGCCAUUUUAAUUUUUAAAAUUUUUCUUGGUCAUUUAAUUUUUUUUCGUAUUUUUUUGCUAAUUUAAUUUUUUUUUAGUAUUUUUUUGGCAAUUUAAUUUUUUUAUAUAUAUUUCUUUGGACCAUUUAAAAAUAUUUAAAAUUUUUUGCCAUUUAAAAAUUAUUUUAGUUUUUUUUUGGCCUCUUAAAAUAUUUUAUAUUUUUUGUGUCCAUUAAAAUUUUUUUAAAUUUUUUUUUGGGCAUUUAAAAAUUUAUUUACUAUUUUUUUGUCCAUUUAAAAAUUAUUUUAUGGUUUUUUUUGGCCAUUUAAUAUUUUUUAAAAUUUUUUUUUGGCCAUUUAAAUUUUUUUUUAAUUUUUUUUUGGCCAUUUUAAAAUUUUUUAAGUAUUUUUUGGGCUAUAUUUGAAUUUUUUAAUAUUUUUUCUAACACCUCCGAGACUCAUUCUUUCCAACCCCCCGAGCCUGCAGCUCGGGUUUAUUUUCCGAGGCGAUUUUUGGGAUGGUUUCAGCAGUUUCUGCCUCCGAUUUCCCAGAACAAGGAGCUUUUUCAGCCCUUUUUCACUUUAUGGCCUCAAUAAUUCCCUCGCUGCCUCCUCACUCCAGAAGUGUCGGCAAUUCCAGCUCCGGGUGGAAAAAUAAAGGGAAAAAAAAAUAUUAAAAAAAUAGAAAUAUUUAAAAAAAAAAAAUAAGAGUUGAAUUAUUUAAUUGGAGGGAACUUUGCCAGCCCUUCACAAACCUCGCUCUGUUCCGCCGGCCCGGCCAAAUUUUGGGUGUUGAUUGAAUCCCCUCAUCCCCCCCCGCGCUGCCGGCCAGGGAAACCUGGAGGCAAAAACAGCCCCGAGAACUCGAGCCAGCCCCAAAUCCUCCUGCCCGUCCUGAUUUUCCUCCUCCCCAUGGCGAUUUUCCUCCUCCCUAUCGCGAUUUUCCUCCUCCUGAUCUCGAUUUUCCUCCUCCCCAUCGCGAUUUUCCUCCUCCCCAUCUUUGAUUUUCCUCCUCCCCAUCUUGAUUUUCCUCCUCUCGAUCUUGAUUUUCCUCCUCCUGAUCUCGAUUUUCCUCUUCUUGGUUUUGCUUUUUCUCCUCCCCAUCUCGAUUUCCGUCUUCUUGAUCUCGAUUUUCCUCCUCCUGAUCUUGAUUUUCCUCCUCCUGAUCUUGAUUUUCCUCCUCCUGAUCUUUAUUCUCCACUCCAUCUCGAUUUUCCUCCUCCUGGUCUUCAUUUUCCUCCUCCCCAUUUUGCUUUUCAUCCUCCUGAUCUUCAUUUUUCUCCUCUUAAUCUUGAUUUUCUUCCUCUUGGUUUUGCUUUUCCUUCUCCUAAUUUUGAUUUUCCUCCUCCUGAUCUCGAUUUUCCUCCUCUCCAUCUCGAUUUUCCUCCUCUUGAUCUUCAUUUUCCUCUUCCCCAUCUUGACUUUCCUCCUCUUGGUUUUGAUUUUCCUCCUCCUGAUCUCGAUUUUCCUCCUCCUGAUUUUGAUUUCCCUCCUCUCGAUCUUUGUUCUCCUCCUGAUUUUGAUUUUCCUCCUCCUAAUUUUGAUUUUCCUCCUCCUGAUUUUGAUUUUCCUCCUCCUGAUUUUGAUUUUCCUCCUCCUGAUUUUGAUUUUCCUCCUCCUGAUUUUGAUUUCUGCCCCCAUCCUGAGCCGUGCCUGUCCAAAAUCGGGGGCUCCCCCUUCUCCAUCGCCCCCUCCCCUCUGCAGACCUCCAGCCCGGAAUUUUGGGUUUUUUUGGGGAAAAUGAGGCCAAAAUCUGGCUGAAGAGAAUCCCCCUCCCCAAUUUAUCGCUCCUCCUUUGCAUGAAGCCAAAACCUGAUUAAAACUGAGCCCCCUCCCCAAUUUAUCGCUCCUCCUGUGCAGACUUUGAGCCUGGAAUUUGGGAUUUUUGGGGGAAAUGAAGCCAAAAUCUGGCUCAAGACAAUCCCCCUCCCCAAUUUAUCGCUCCUCCUGUUGCUCGAGCCUGGAAUUUUGGGGAUUUUUGGGGGAAAUGAAGCCAAAAUCUGGCUCAAGACCAUCCCCCUCCCCAAUUUAUUGCUCCUCCUGUGCAGACUUUGAGCCUGGAAUUUUGGGAUUUUUUGGGGGGAAAUGAAGCCAAAAUCUGAUUGAAGCCGAGCCCCCUCCCCGCUUUAUCUCUCCUCCUGUUGCUCCAGCCUGGAAUUUGGUUUUUUUUGAGGAAAUGAGGCCAAAAUCUGAUUAAAGCCGAGCCCCCUCCCCAAUUUAUCGCUCCUCCUGUGCAGACCCCGAGCCUGGAAUUUGGGUUUUUUUUGAAAAGAUAAGAAAAAAUCUGAUUAAAGCCGAGCCCCUCCCCAUUUUAUUGCUCCUGCUGUGCAGAUCUCGCUCCUGGAAUUUUGGGUUGUUUUGGUUUUUUCUUGAAAAAACGAGCCCAAAAUCUGAUUAAAGCCGCGCCUAUCAAAGCCCGGCUUAACUCCAGAGCUACCGUCCGAGCCCUGCUGAGCCCAGCCUGAGCCGGGGCUGCGGAGGCGUCCGAAAGAAACAGAAAUC